rfam:Myotis brandtii contig158145, whole genome shotgun sequence.
GGUGGUUCUCAGGUGACACACCCCAGAAUCGGCCUCCCUUCUCUCUGGUUCCCGGUACAUCACCCGAGAACUGCA